rnacentral:lncRNA from 1 species
GACAAAUCAGGGCCAGAUGUAAUGAAGCUGCCUCCUCACAGCAUUAAUCUUGGCUGCAGGCACAGGCAGAGCAGCACAUUUCUUCCCUGUCUUGCUGACUGACUUACCCUCUUCUCGUCCUUCACAAUGUAAUUCCUCCCGUACUUCUUCGUGAGGUGCGGCGCCAGCACAUCGAAGCGGCGACGGAACUCGGAGAACACCAUGUGGUCGGGGUAACCUGUGUUGUGUUCCAAGGGUUGAAAUGGGUGCUUUUGGAACCGGACCUGCAUCGGGCUUUAAAGGACAGUGGGCUGCCGACUCACCUUGCCUGUAGAUUCGCAGCGCAUCGAGCAGCUUGGAGCCGCGCAGCUGAGCGCGGAGCAGAGCUACAUCCACCUGCAUUUCUCCGGGCUCCCCUUGAACCUCACAUUCUCCUCCUUUAAACAGGGAUCCACCCAGAGCCUUGAGGGCCUCUGCUUUGGGCAACAUGCAGUGAACAAAGUGAACCCUCGAUCGCCGCAGAAUGUCAAGGAGCGCGUCCUGGAAAAGGCAGAGUAGCGGCUUUAUCUGGAUGCACAAAGACUUCUUCUUGACUGCCGACAUGCCUGUGGAGAAGGUCUUCCUCAUGCUAGUUGCCCGACGCAGGGAGAGCUGUGAGAUCGCUUCAAGGCCAGCGAUGGAACCGGACAGAACAUUGGUUCCACCAGCUCUGCUCAUGAACAAGGAACUGAUGAUCUUCCUGCAUAAAGGGCAUAAAGUGAUUCAAUCUGAUGCUUUCCAAAAUACCCCUAAAGUAACAACAGUGUCUCAAAGAUGCACGUCCGGUGCCGUCCUUACUUUUGGGAGUCCAGCAGGACGCUAGUGGCGUUGGAUGAAGCUGGGAUCUGCUUUGCAUAAUUAAGCCACCCGCUGACAUUGUACUCCACCCAGUCAGUGCCAUAACUGUGGCCCAGCAAGAAAUGAUUUGCUUUUUCACUCUUUAACAGGAAAGUUUGGCCUGUUGAACACGUAGGAGGGAGUGCAAAUGUCAGGAUGGCACAUCAUGUGCAUGACAAGCAUGACAGGACAAGGAGCGAAGACUGGAAAAGUUUAAACU